CCUACGGGGUGCAGCAGUGAGGAAUAUUGGUCAAUGGACGAGAGUCUGAACCAGCCAAGUAGCGUGAAGGAUGACUGCCCUAUGGGUUGUAAACUUCUUUUAUAUGGGAAUAAAAUGUUCCACGUGUGGGCUUUUGUAUGUACCAUAUGAAUAAGGAUCGGCUAACUCCGUGCCAGCAGCCGCGGUAAUACGGAGGAUCCGAGCGUUAUCCGGAUUUAUUGGGUUUAAAGGGAGCGUAGGUGGAUUGUUAAGUCAGUUGUGAAAGUUUGCGGCUCAACCGUAAAAUUGCAGUUGAAACUGGCAGUCUUGAGUACAGUAGAGGUGGGCGGAAGUCGUGGUGUAGCGGUGAAAUGCUUAGAUAUCACGAAGAACUCCGAUUGCGAAGGCAGCUCACUGGACUGCAACUGACACUGAGGCUCGAAAGUGUGGGUAUCAAACAGGAUUAGAUACCCGGGUAGUC
rnacentral:rRNA from 1 species